AGGACGAACGCUGGCGGCGUGCUUAACACAUGCAAGUCGAGCGGUAAGGCUCCUUCGGGAGUACACGAGCGGCGAACGGGUGAGUAACACGUGAGCAAUCUGCCCUUCACAUCGGGAUAACCCCCGGAAACGGGAGCUAAUACCGGAUACGACCACUUCAGGCAUCUGAUGGUGGUGGAAAGUUCUGGCGGUGAAGGAUGAGCUCGCGGCCUAUCAGCUUGUUGGUGGGGUAAUCGGCCCACCAAGGCUUCGGACGGGUAGCCGGCCUGAGGAGGGUGACCGGCCACACUGGGACUGAGACACGGCCCAGACCUCCUACGGGAGGCAGCGAGGUGGGGAAUAGUUGGACAAGUGGGCGAAAGCCUAGAUCCAGCAACGCCGCGUGAGGAUGACGGUCCGUUCGGGUUGUAACCUCUUUCAGCGACAGACGAAGACGAAAGUGACGGUAUGCG
rnacentral:rRNA from 1 species